GAUGAAGAAGCAGCGAAAUGCGAUACUUGGUGUGAAUUGCAGAAUCCCGUGAACCAUCGAGUCUUUGAACGCAAGUUGCGCCUCAAGCCAUUAGGUUGAGGGCACGUCUGCCUGGGCGUCACAUAUCGUUGCCUGAUGCCAGUUUCCUCGUGAUGGGUGACUGUGCAGGGCGAAUAAUGGCUUCCCGUGAGCAUUGUUGCCUCAUGGUUGGUUGAAAAUUGAGUCCUUGGUAGGGAGCGCCGUGAUAGAUGGUGGUUGAGUGACGAACGAGACCCAAUCAUGUGAGACCCCUACCGAAUUUGGCCUUCAUGACCCACAUGCGUCUUUGGAACGCUCAUGACGAGACCUCAGGUCAGGCGGGGCUACCCGCUGAGUUUAAGCAUAUCAAUAAGCGGAGGA
rnacentral:misc_RNA from 1 species